rnacentral:tRNA from 1 species
GCGCUGGUAGCUCAGCUGGAUAGAGUACCUGGCUACGAACCAGGCGGUCGGGGGUUCGAUUCCCUCCCAGCGCACCA